CUCAAAUUGGAAAACCCAAACUCAGCGGUCAAAACUGUAUUGUUGAAGGUGAUGGUUGAGAUUUUUUUUUUCCUUAAAAGGAAUCUAAGUUAAAGAUGAGAAGAAAUAAAUCUUUUUUUUUUUUUUUUUACAGGUCUAGCUUCACUUUCUCUCCCCAUUUGAAUAACAAGAAAACUUUUGUGACCCAAAAGCUUAGUUUUCCUCUUCUCACAGUAUCUUUUCCAAGACUUGAGCAGAAUAUUAAGGGCAAUCAAGGCUAAUAAGUGACUGACACUUCUGACUACUGUGCCACCUAGCUGCCCCCUCUUUUUUUGUUUCCUAAAAGAGAUUGACAUGGUCCAGAAGAGAUCAUGUAUAAUUGUGGAAAGAAGAAGGGAUCUGAAAUAAAAAAAAAAUACAUCCGAUCCAUUUACUACCUGAAAGACCUUAAACUUAAACUCACUUAAAUUCUCUUGAGUCAAAGCCAAAAAAGACUUCAAAUAUUGGCCAGGCACUGAAUCUCCUGAGGGGAGAGACAUGGAGUUCAAAGGAAGGAAUAUAACUUUUGUUUUAUUUAAAGGAUGAGAGUUAUGGAAUAUUAUUGUUCUGUAAGAAAUGAUCAGCAGGAUGAAUACAGAGAGGCUUGGAGAGACUUAAAUGAACUGAUGCUAAGUGAAAUGAGCAGAACCAGGAGAUCAUUAUACACUUCAACAACGAUGUUGUAUGAGGAUGUAUUCUGAUGGAACUCGAUUUCUUUGACAAAGAAACCUAACUGAGUUUCAAUUGAUAAAUGAUGGACAGAAGCAGCUACAUCCAAAGAAAGAACACUGGGAAAUGAAUGUGAACUAUUUGCAUUUUUGUUUUUCUUCCCGGGUUAUUUUUACCUUCUGAAUCCAAUUCUCCCUGUGCAACAAGAGAACUGUUUGGUUCUGAAAACGUAUAUUGUAUCUAGGAUAUACUGCAACAUAUUUAACAUAUAUAGGACUGCUUGCCAUCUGGGGGAGGGGGUGGAGGGAGGAAGGGGAAAAAUCGGAACAGAAGCAAGUGCAAGGGAUAAUGUUAUAAAAAAAAAAUUACCCUGGCAUGGAUUCUUCAAUAAAAAGGUAUUAUAAAAUAAACAAACAAAUAAAUAAAUAUUUUUUUAAAUUACAAAAAUAAAUAA